rnacentral:rRNA from 1 species
CGCGGCCUAUCAGCUUGUUGGUGAGGUAAUGGCUCACCAAGGCGUCGACGGGUAGCCGGCCUGAGAGGGUGACCGGCCACACUGGGACUGAGACACGGCCCAGACUCCUACGGGAGGCAGCAGUAGGGAAUCUUGCGCAAUGGGCGAAAGCCUGACGCGGCAACGCCGCGUGGGGGAUGAAUGCCUUCGGGUUGUAAACCCCUUUCAGCAGGGACGAAAAUGACGGUACCUGCAGAAGAAGCUCCGGCCAACUACGUGCCAGCAGCCGCGGUUAUACGUAGGGAGCGAGCGUUGUCCGGAGUUAUUGGGCGUAAAGAGCUCGUAGGCGGUUCAGUAAGUCGGGUGUGAAAACUCAAGGCUCAACCUUGAGACGCCACUCGAUACUGCUGUGACUUGAGUCCGGUAGAGGAGUGUGGAAUUCCUGGUGUAGCGGUGAAAUGCGCAGAUAUCAGGAGGAACACCAGCGGCGAAGGCGGCACUCUGGGCCGGUACUGACGCUGAGGAGCGAAAGCAUGGGGAGCAAACAGGAUUAGAUACCCUGGUAGUCCAUGCCGUAAACGUUGGGCACUAGGUAUGGGAUCAUAUCAACGGAUUCCGUGCCGUAGCUAAUGCAUUAAGUGCCCCG